rnacentral:rRNA from 1 species
UACGUAGGGUGCAAGCGUUGUCCGGAAUUAUUGGGCGUAAAGAGCUCGUAGGCGGUCUGUCGCGUCGGUCGUGAAAACUCGAGGCUCAACCUCGAGAUGUCGGCGGAAACCAUUUGGCUAGAGUCCGGAAGAGGAAAGUGGAAUUCCUGGUGUAGCGGUGAAAUGCGCAGAUAUCAGGAGGAACACCGAUGGCGAAGGCAGGUCACUGGGCCGCAACUGACGCUGAGGAGCGAAAGCAUGGGGAGCGAACAGG